UCCCUGGUGGUCCAGUGGUUAAGACUCAGUGCUUCCAAUACAGGGGGCCCAGGUUUGAUCUCUGAUCAGGGAA
rfam:TPA: Bos taurus chromosome 19, whole genome shotgun sequence.